rnacentral:rRNA from 1 species
UACGGAGGAGGCAAGCGUUAUCCGGAAUUAUUGGGCGUAAAGCGUCCGUAGGUGGUUUAGUAAGUCUGCUGUCAAAGCACGGAGCUUAACUCUGUAAAGGCAGUGGAAACUACUAGGCUAGAGUGCGGUAGGGGCAGAGGGAAUUCCCAGUGUAGCGGUGAAAUGCGUAGAGAUUGGGAAGAACAUCGGUGGCGAAAGCGCUCUGCUGGGCCUGCACUGACACUGAGGGACGAAAGCUAGGGGAGCGAAAGGG